CGCCUGGGGAGUACGGCCGCAAGGUUAAAACUCAAAUGAAUUGACGGGGGCCCGCACAAGCGGUGGAGCAUGUGGUUUAAUUCGACGCAACGCGAAGAACCUUACCUGGCCUUGACAUGCAGAGAACUUUCCAGAGAUGGAUUGGUGCCUUCGGGAACUCUGACACAGGUGCAGCAUGGCCGUCGUCAGCUCGUGUCGUGAGAUGUUGGGUUAAGUCCCGUAACGAGCGCAACCCCUAUCCCUAGUUGCUAGCAGUUCGGCUGAGAACUCUAGGGAGACUGCCGGUGACAAACCGGAGGAAGGUGGGGAUGACGUCAGGUCAUCAUGGCCCUUACGGCCAGGGCUGCACACGUGCUACAAUGGUGCGCACAGAGGGCUGCAAACCCGCGAGGGGGAGCCAAUCUCACAAAACGCAUCGUAGUCCGGAUCGCAGUCUGCAACUCGACUGCGUGAAGUCGGAAUCGCUAGUAAUCGUGAAUCAGAAUGUCACGGUGAAUACGUUCCCGGGCCUUGUACACACCGCCCGUCACACCAUGGGAGUGGAUUGCACCAGAAGUGGUUAGUCUAACCUUCGGGAGGACGAUCACCACGGUGUGGUUCAUGACUGGGGUGAAGUCGUAACAAGGUAACCGUA
rnacentral:rRNA from 1 species